rfam:Geobacter lovleyi SZ, complete genome.
GGGGGCGUAAAGGUUUCGACGGGGGAAUGAACUCCUGGGUUGCACCGGGUCGGGGCAGGUGGCCGACCUUAAUAAACCUGCACGGCAAUAUCUGCCGACAAUUAUAACACCCAACCUGUUGCACUAGCUGCUUAACAGGCGUUCCCGACUGAGAUGUCGGUGGUAGGAAGGGAACGUCAUUCACUACCGGAUAGGAUCGUGUAAGCCCGAUACGCAGUCCGAAAUUCAGGGAUCGUCAUCAAGCUGUCUUGUCCGCUGUACAGCCUGAUGACUAAAUCGAUCAACGGACUAACGGUGUAGUAGCUCUCGACGUAGGUCUUUCGGACGUGGGUUCGACUCCCACCGCCUCCACCA